rnacentral:rRNA from 1 species
GGAGUCUGGUCCGUGUCUCAGUACCAAUGUGGGGGACCUUCCUCUCAGAACCCCUACUGAUCGAUGGCUCGGUGGGCCGUUACCCCGCCGACUACCUAAUCAGACGCAUCCCCAUCCUAUAGCGGUAAACCUUUGGUAUUCAUCUGAUGUCAUCAAAAUACAACAUAGGGUAUUAAUCCGCAUUUCUACGGGCUAUCCCCUACUAUAGGGAAGGUUGGAUACGCGUUACUCACCCGUGCGCCGGUCGCCAUCGGCCUUAGCAAGCUAAGACCAUGCUGCCCCUCGACUUGCAUGUGUUAAGCCUGUAGCUAGCGUUCAUCCUGAGCCAUGUUCAAACUCU